UCCCAUUGUAGAUGGUUGGAAGCCACUC
rnacentral:piRNA from 1 species